rnacentral:rRNA from 1 species
AGUGAACGCUGGCGGUAGGCCUAACACAUGCAAGUCGAACGGCAGCACAGUAAGAGCUUGCUCUUACGGGUGGCGAGUGGCGGACGGGUGAGGAAUACAUCGGAAUCUACUUUUUCGUGGGGGAUAACGUAGGUAAACUUACGCUAAUACCGCAUACGACCUACGGGUGAAAGCAGGGGAUCUUCGGACCUUGCGCGAAUGAAUGCGCGGAUUUCGGUUUAGCUAGUUGGCGGGGUAAAGGCCCACCAAGUCGACGAUCCGUAGCUGGUCUGAGAGGAUGAUCAGCCACCCUGGAACUGAGACACGGUCCAGACUCCUACGGGAGGCAGCAGUGGGGAAUAUUGGACAAUGGGCGCAAGCCUGAUCCAGCCAGACCGCGUGGGUGAAGAAGGCCUUCGGGUUGUAAAGCCCUUUUGUUGGGAAAGAAAAGCAGCAGGUUAAUACCCAGCUGUUCUGACGGUACCCAAAGAAUAAGCACCGGCUAACUUCGUG